rnacentral:pre_miRNA from 1 species
GUUAUGGGAUAGAGCUGCAUUUGCACCUGCACCUAGAGAGGAAGAAAGGUCGAGGGCUUGGAACUUGGCCAUGCAUGCGAUUGCGAUGCAUGCAACGUUCUCCUUGACCCUCUCGCUCUUCCUGUAGGUGCAGUGGCAUAUGCAACUCUAUCACAGGCA